rnacentral:rRNA from 1 species
UACGGAAGGCAGCAGUGGGGAAUAUUGCACAAUGGGCGCAAGCCUGAUGCAGCCAUGCCGCGUGUAUGAAAAAGGCCUUCGGGUUGUAAAGUACUUUCAGUCGUGAGGAAGGUGUUAAGGUUAAUAACCUUAGCAAUUGACGUUAGCGACAGAAGAAGCAUCGGCUAACUCCGUGCCAGCAGCCGCGGUAAUACGGAGGGUGCGAGCGUUAAUCGGAAUUACUGGGCGUAAAGGGCACGCAGGCGGUUAAUUAAGUUGGAUGUGAAAUCCCCGGGCUUAACCUGGGAAUGGCAUUCAAGACUGGUUAGCUAGAGUCUUGUAGAGGGGGUAGAAUUCCAUGUGUAGCGGUGAAAUGCGUAGAGAUGUGGAGGAAUACCGGUGGCGAAGGCGGCCCCGUGGACAAAGACUGACGCUCAUGUGCGAAAGCGUGGGGAGCAAACGAGGAUUAGAUACC